ensembl:lncRNA
UAUCAGUAGCCUAUUCAGUAGUGCUCGUCCUGUAGCUCAAUACGGAAGUUUCUGCCUUUUCUCAUUGCACAAGCGACUCUCUCUUUCUCCCUCCUCCGCGUGUGUUUGCACAAGUUUAUCUCCGAUUUUCAGCGCCGUGCUCACAACACACACACACACACACACACACACACACACACACACACCGCCGACCAGGAUGACUUUAAAACGGCUUUAAACGCUGGACCUCAGGCCUUGAAGACUUUCUCACUCUUGUGUAUGAGUCCUUGAUCAGUUCCCCUGCCCACAGACACACACACGCACAAACAAAUCCUCCGUAUGGAACCCAGUGCAGGAUCCAAAAAGACAGUAUGGGGUAACCUGCGCCAGAAAGCCAAGCCGUUGAUCCACUACGUCCGCGGCAACAGCCAAAGACACAUCAGGUCACAGGUUAGACCAGAGCGAGCGUUGGACCAUAGGACCAGCUCUUCAGUGCCUUCUUCCCCUUCCCAACCAGCCCGGCUUCCCGCUGCCAGCAGUCCCUCCACACCUGUCAGUCAGCCUGUGUUAGAGACAAGGGGCGGGGCCCAGUGUUCUGAGUCGCCAGCUGGGCCUACGAACUUAUCUGAUUGGAUACCACAGGACUUGGUGGAUGGCGGUGUUGAUGAGGAGCAGGACUUCUUGGACGCUGUAGAUGAGAUGGAGCUUCUCCCAGAGAACUCAACAGAGCAGAGGAAACGGGUUGAGAACCACCAUGACACUGAUGAUUCUUUCCAUGGCCCUGAGCAACCUGAAG